AAGCGUGCGCAGGCGGUUAUGUAAGACAGAUGUGAAAUCCCCGGGCUCAACCUGGGAACUGCAUUAGUGACUGCAUAGCUGGAGUACGGCAGAGGGGGAUGGAAUUCCGCGUGUAGCAGUGAAAUGCGUAGAUAUGCGGAGGAACACCGAUGGCGAAGGCAAUCCCCUCGGGCCUGUACUGACGCUCAUGCACGAAAGCGUGGGGAGCAAACAGGAUUAGAUACCCCAGU
rnacentral:rRNA from 1 species